UUGAACGCUGGCGGCAUGCCUUACACAUGCAAGUCGAACGGUAGAGGGGCAACCCUUGAGAGUGGCGAACGGGUGAGUAAUAUAUCGGAACGUGCCCAGUCGGUGGGGGAUAACGCAGCGAAAGCUGCGCUAAUACCGCAUACGAUCUAUGGAUGAAAGCGGGGGAUCGCAAAGACCUCGCGCGAUUGGAGCGGCCGAUAUCAGAUUAGGUAGUUGGUGGGGUAGAAGCCCACCAAGCCGACGAUCUGUAGCUG
rnacentral:rRNA from 1 species